UGUCUGAAUAUGGGGGGACCAUCCUCCAAGGCUAAAUACUCCUGACUGACCGAUAGUGAACCAGUACCGUGAGGGAAAGGCGAAAAGAACCCCGGCGAGGGGAGUGAAAAAGAACCUGAAACCGUGUACGUACAAGCAGUGGGAGCACCCUUUGGGGUGUGACUGCGUACCUUUUGUAUAAUGGGUCAGCGACUUAUAUUCUGUAGCAAGGUUAACCGAAUAGGGGAGCCGGAGGGAAACCGAGUCUUAACCGGGCGUUAAGUUGCAGGGUAUAGACCCGAAACCCGGUGAUCUAGCCAUGGGCAGGUUGAAGGUUGGGUAACACUAACUGGAGGACCGAACCGACUAAUGUUGAAAAAUUAGCGGAUGACCUGUGGCUGGGGGUGAAAGGCCAAUCAAACCGGGAGAUAGCUGGUUCUCCCCGAAAGCUAUUUAGGUAGCGCCUCGUGAAUUCAUCUCCGGGGGUAGAGCACUGUUUCGGCUAGGGGGCCAUCCCGGCUUACCAACCCGAUGCAAACUGCGAAUACCGGAGAAUGUUAUCACGGGAGACACACGGCGGGUGCUAACGUCCGUCGUGAAGAGGGAAACAACCCAGACCGCCAGCUAAGGUCCCAAAGUCAUGGUUAAGUGGGAAACGAUGUGGGAAGGCCCAGACAGCCAGGAUGUUGGCUUAGAAGCAGCCAUCAUUUAAAGAAAGCGUAAUAGCUCACUGGUCGAGUCGGCCUGCGCGGAAGAUGUAACGGGGCUAAACCAUG
rnacentral:rRNA from 1 species